AACGUAGGAGACAAACGUUAUCCGGAGUUACUGGGCGUAAAGGGCGUGUAGGCGGUCUGUUAAGUCUGGCGUGAAAGCUCUCGGCUAAACCGGGAGAGGUCGUUGGAUACUGGCAGACUAGAGGACGGUAGAGGCGUGUGGAAUUCCGGGUGUAGUGGUGAAAUGCGUAGAUAUCGGGAGGAACACCCGUGGCGAAGGCGGCCUGCUGGGCUGACCCUGACACUGAGGCGCGAAGGCGUGGGGAGCGAACGGG
rnacentral:rRNA from 1 species